rnacentral:rRNA from 1 species
AUUGAACGCUGGCGGCAGGCCUAACAAAUGCAAGUCGAACGAGUGGCGGACGGGUGAGUAAUGUCUGGGAAACUGCCUGAUGGAGGGGGAUAACUACUGGAAACGGUAGCUAAUACCGCAUACCCACAGAUGUGCCCAGAUGGGAUUAGCUUGGUGGUGGGGUAACGGCUCACCAAGGCGACGAUCCCUAGCUGGUCUGAGAGGAUGAACUGCCACACUGCAACUUGGCAACGGUCCAGACUCCUACGGGAGGCAGCAGUGGGGAAUUUUGCACAAUGUGCGCAAGCCUGAUGCAGCCAUGCCGCGUGUAUGAAGAAGGCCUUCGGGUUGUAAAGUACUUUCGGCGGGGAGGCGUUACCCGCAGAAGAAGCACCGGCUAACUCCGUGCCAGCAGCCGCGGUAAUUC